GUGGCUGUGGCUCAGGUGGUAGAGCAGUUUGUCCACUAAUCAUAGGACUGGUGGUUCGAUUCCCAGCCCACA